AUUGAACGCUGGCGGCAUGCCUUACACAUGCAAGUCGAACGGUAACAGGUCUUCGGAUGCUGACGAGUGGCGAACGGGUGAGUAAUACAUCGGAACGUGCCCGAUCGUGGGGGAUAACGAGGCGAAAGCUUUGCUAAUACCGCAUACGAUCUACGGAUGAAAGCGGGGGAUCUUCGGACCUCGCGCGGACGGAGCGGCCGAUGGCAGAUUAGGUAGUUGGUGGGAUAAAAGCUUACCAAGCCGACGAUCUGUAGCUGGUCUGAGAGGAUGAUCAGCCACACUGGGACUGAGACACGGCCCAGAUUCCUACGGGAGGCAGCAGUGGGGAAUUUUGGACAAUGGGCGAAAGCCUGAUCCAGCCAUGCCGCGUGCAGGAUGAAGGCCUUUGGGUUGUAAACUGCUUUUGUACGGAACGAAAAGCCUCUUUCUAAUAAAGAGGGGUCAUGACGGUACCGUAAGAAUAAGCACCGGCUAACUACGUG
rnacentral:rRNA from 1 species